rnacentral:rRNA from 1 species
AAAGGAAUAACAAUUGGAAACGAUUGCUAAUACCUUAUAUGCUUUAUAGUGAAAGAUUUUUCGUCUGAGGAUGAGCUUACGUCUGAUUAGCUAGUUGGUAAAUUAAGAGCUUACCAAGGCGACGAUCAGUAGCUGGUUUGAGAGGAUGAUCAGCCACACUGGAACUGAGACACGGUCCAGACUUCUACGGAAGGCAGCAGUGGGGAAUUUUCCGCAAUGGGCGAAAGCCUGACGGAGCAAUACCGCGUGAGGGAAGAAUGCCUGUGGGUUGUAAACCUCUUUUCUUAAGGAAGAAAUUUGACGGUACUUAAGGAAUAAGCAUCGGCUAACUCCGUGCCAGCAGCCGCGGUAAUACGGGGGAUGCAAGUGUUCUCCGGAAUUAUUGGGCGUAAAGCGUCUGUAGGUGGUUAAAUAAGUCGGCUGUUAAAUAUUGAGGCCUAACCUUAAACAAGCAGUCGAAACUAUUUGACUAGAGUAUGGUAUGGGUAGGGGGAAUUCCCAGUGUAGCGGUGAAAUGCGUAGAUAUUAGGAAGAACACCAGAAGCGAAGGCGCUCUACUGGGCCAUUACUGACACUCAGAGACGAAAGCUAGGGUAGCAAAUGGGAUUAGAUACCCCAGUAGUCCUAGCCGUAAACGAUGGAUACUAGAUGUUGCGCGUAUCGAUCCGUGCAGUAUCGUAGCUAACGCGUUAAGUAUCCCGCCUGGGAAGUACGCUCGCAAGGGUGAAACUCAAAGGAAUUGACGGGGGCCCGCACAAGCGGUGGAGCAUGUGGUUUAAUUCGAAGCAACGCGCAGAACCUUACCAGCCCUUGACAUACCAAUCGCGGUUAGUGGAGACACUUUCCUUCAGUUCGGCUGGAUUGGAUACAGGUGCUGCAUGGCUGUCGUCAGCUCGUGUCGUGAGAUGUUGGGUUAAGUCCCGCAACGAGCGCAACCCUCGCCAUUAGUUGCCAGCAUUUAGUUGGGCACUCUAAUGGGACUGCCGGUGAUAAGCCGGAGGAAGGUGGGGAUGACGUCAAGUCCUCAUGGCCCUUACGGGCUGGGCUACACACGUGCUACAAUGGUGGUGACAGUGGGCAGCGAGACCGCGAGGUCGAGCUAAUCUCCAAAAACCAUCUCAGUUCGGAUUGUUCUCUGCAACUCGAGAGCAUGAAGUUGGAAUCGCUAGUAAUCGUGGAUCAGCAUGCCACGGUGAAUACGUUCCCGGGCCUUGU